rnacentral:rRNA from 1 species
GGUGUGAAUCUUCCGCAAUGGACGAAAGUCUGACGGAGCAACGCCGCGUGAACGAUGAAGGCCUUCGGGUCGUAAAGUUCUGUUGUUAGGGAAGAACAAGUACCAGAGUAACUGCUGGUACCUUGACGGUACCUAACCAGAAAGCCACGGCUAACUACGUGCCAGCAGCCGCGGUAAAUAAAAAAAC